UGCUGUUUUGGAUUUUUUUUAAUGAUUUUUAUGCGAUGUUCAUCUGUGUAGGCACUCAAAUUAGUGUUUUGGAGUGCAUAUGGACCAGACACCACAAAAGAGAAAACGGAAACCAAAAUCAGAGCCAUCAAAACAAACAAAUGCUGGUAUGUCCUAAAAAAGCUGAAGCCAAGUCUGGAUAGAGAGAAAGAUCUCAUGGUAGGAAUCAUGGACUUGAUGAAGGUGAGGUUAACAAAGUGUGCUUUAGCACCAAGAUUGGAAUCUGGGUGUUCUGAGUUUUGUUUUGUUGUGAUUUUUCUAUAAUCUAGAUGCUGAAAUACUUGGAGUUGGAAUUAAUAAGAAUUGAUUGAACAUGGAUUUUUUAUUAGAUUGGUAUGGCUGACAUAGUUAAGAAGUAGUUUAAGAUGCAGUGAUUAGGGCAUUUCUUUAACUGAACAUAUUUGUUUUCAUGAGGUAGAUAGAAUCCUCUGUAAUUUAAUUAAUUAGAUUGAAA